rnacentral:rRNA from 1 species
UACGUAGGGUGCGAGCGUUAAUCGGAAUUACUGGGCGUAAAGCGUGCGCAGGCGGUCUGUUAAGACAGAUGUGAAAUCCCCGGGCUUAACCUGGGAACUGCAUUUGUGACUGGCAGGCUAGAGUAUGGCAGAGGGGGGUAGAAUUCCACGUGUAGCAGUGAAACGCGUAGAGAUGUGGGAGGAAUACCGAUGGCGAAGGCAGCCCCCUGGGCCAAUACUGACGCUCAUGCACGAAAGCGUGGGGAGCAAACGAGGAUUACGAA